UAUUCUUUUCCAAAUGAAAGAUUGGCAGCUAGAGAAUAUUGCCUGAACUUGAAAGAGUACACAGAUUACAUGUACACACAUUUCAUGGCCUAGGUAAAAUCUUGAUUAUAUUGCUAUCUUAUCCACUUUAUUCACUAUGCCUGUAUCAGUGGCAUGCAUGCUGUGAGAAAAAAAAAAAUCUCCACAGACUAGAACUGUGACCUGUUACAAGGAAUAGAUUGUUUUCUGGGUUUUUGAGAUGAAAUAUUUUGAGGAAAUUCUAUAACAUUAUUGACUGACCUUCUGUAGGACUACUGAAAAAUAUACUGCAAGAUCAAAACAACUUAAUUUUUAUAUUGAUUGAAGCUUUUAAUUCUUCAGAAUAAUUUGUCCUUUUAUAGUGAGUUGUGCUUUUCUUCUUGUCAGGGGUUUCAUAGGUUUACUAGUAAUGGUUGAAAAAAGUGUACAAAAAACCCUCAUAAAGUUGCAGCAAUUAUUUACAACAUAAAAUCUUCAGUGACUAUUUACAAAGCCUUCAGUUGUUCAAAUGUACACAUAGUGUAUUAUUUAUUAUUUCUUGUUGUUUCUAUUGUUGCUGCUCUGAGUGAUCAACCAUCCUCCUUACUACCACCUGACGGGCACAGCUGGAGGGUCCCUGAGAGCCUGGGGGCGUGUGGAGGGAGGCUGGAGGCCUGGGACUCCCGGUGGAGCAGGGGCAGCUCUGCGCACAGGCCUGUGGCUGCAGUCCGGGCUCGGUGAAAGCCAAGGUGCAGCGUGCAGGGAGGGCAAGUCCAUGGCUGCCCGGCUCAGAACCAUGCACCAACACAAGGAGCCCUCACUCCUGGCUAUGGGGCUGGGACUUGGACCUGGAGGGGUCCUAUGGUCCUCUGCAGACCUGACCCUGUCAUCCUCAGAGAUACCUGUAACAUGCUAG
rnacentral:lncRNA from 1 species